rnacentral:rRNA from 1 species
UGGGGAAUAUUGCACAAUGGGCGGAAGCCUGAUGCAGCAACGCCGCGUGCGGGAUGACGGCCUUCGGGUUGUAAACCGCUUUCGCCUGUGACGAAGCGUGAGUGACGGUAAUGGGUAAAGAAGCACCGGCUAACUACGCGCCAGCAGCCGCGGUGAUACGUAGGGUGCGAGCGUUGUCCGGAUUUAUUGGGCGUAAAGGGCUCGUAGGUGGUUGAUCGCGUCGGAAGUGUAAUCUUGGGGCUUAACCCUGAGCGUGCUUUCGAUACGGGUUGACUUGAGGAAGGUAGGGGAGAAUGGAAUUCCUGGUGGAGCGGUGGAAUGCGCAGAUAUCAGGAGGAACACCAGUGGCGAAGGCGGUUCUCUGGGCCUUUCCUGACGCUGAGGAGCGAAAGCGUGGGGAGCGAACA